GAGCGCUAUAACGCUUCUUUGUUGAAUGAGUGCAAAUUAUAGAAGUUCUAGAAUUUAAUGCUGUAUAGACUACUUAGAUGCAUUUUUGUUACAUUGUGUGUUACAUGUUCUUUUGUAUAAAGAACACAGGACCAUCCUCCUGUGGGACAGUUAGUGGGAAGCAAGAGUGCCACCAGCUGCUGUGUAGCUCAUCAAAAAGAGAGAGAAAAGAAAAAAAGAGAGGGGGGAG
rnacentral:misc_RNA from 1 species